GCACGUAGUUCAGUGGUAGAGCACAUGGCUUUGCAUGCAAAAGGUCACAGGUUCAAUCCCCUGCCUGAAACC